rnacentral:rRNA from 1 species
UACGGGGAGGUCCAGUGUUAUUCAUAGUGAUUUGGCGUAAAGGGUACGUAGACGGCUAUUUAAACUUUUGAGAAAAUUCCAUAAUAUUCUUAUGGUAAUUUCGGAACAGAUAAUUUAGCUUUGAGUAUGGCGGAAAUAAGCGGUAUUUUUAAAGGAGAAGUGGUAUUAUAGGAUUUUAAAAUGACCACCGGUGGUGAAGGCGGCUUAUUAUUUCAUCACUGACGUUGAGGUACGAAGGCGUGGGGAGCGAACGGG